UGUACAAUUUUUGUCCAGUCUCUUCCUGCACCCCCAUAUCCCUUUCCCCGGAAAAUUAUCAGUUCAUUCCCUUUCUAUGCUCCUGAUUCUAUUAUAUUCACCAGUUUACUGGUCUAUUUUAGGACAAACCCCAACAUCUCAGCAUUUCCUGCAAAGUUUUUAAGGUUUUUGCUCUUGUCCGCCCUUUCCACCUUCUGUCCUGCCCUAUGCCUCUGCCUUCACCCUUCUUGGAUAAUCUGUACUUGCAGCUUCUUGACCUUGCUAUGCCUUUGCAAUUACUCACUUGCUCCUUUUCCCUCCCUUUUCAUGGCUAAUUCCUUCAGUUCCUUCAAGACUCAGCUCAGGCAUCUCAUCUUCUGCAAGUCUUCCUUGAGCCCUGAUGUCUCCAUAUGUGCCCUCUAUGGGUUGGGUUCCUCCAGCCCUUGAGCUACGCCUACUGUGUUGUGCUGUAAUUUUAAAUCCUCCACUGGGCUGGGACUUUCUUGAAGUUAGACACUAUUUUAUGUUUGUCUCAGUACUUGUCAUAUAUUAGGUACUGCAUACAUGUUUCUUAGAUUGAAAAUUAAGACCCACUAUUUUUUUCAACAUUUCUGUGAUGGUCUACGAAAAAUCAAGUUUUCUAAGCUUGCAUCCAGAAAUCAAAAAACGUGUUUCUUCCUUUUAAAUUUCAAUAAAAAAUAACAUUGAAAAUAUAUUUUCUUCCUUUUUUGAAAGAGGCAAACACAGUUGAAAUGCUAUCUUAUAGGGACUCAGGAAAGUGAGACUUUGAUGGAAGGCUGAGGAAGGAAUGGGGGGGGGGGGCGCUAAUGCUAAUUUUGUAACCUAUAUGCACCAGGCACCAUGUUAAACAUUCUUACUUCUUUUUGCUUUGUUUUUUUUAAUAACGAUUUUUUUACAGAGAGGAAGGGAGAGGGAUAGAGAGUUAGAAACAUCGAUGAGAGAGAAACAUCAACCAGCUGCCUCCUGCACAUCCCCUACUGGGGAUAUAUUGUACCUGCAACCAAGGUACAUGCUCUUGACCAGAAUCAAAUCUGGGACCCUUCAGUCCACAGGCCGACGCUCUAUCCACUGAGCCAAACUGGUUAGGACAACAUCUUAUUUCUUUACAGGUAAUCAUUCUCACAGCCAGGCUUCUAAGGUGGGUAUUAUUACCAUUAGAUUAACCAAGAAGAUGCUAAAGUUCAGGCAGAAUAAGAAAUUGGUUGAAGGCAACAUAACAGAACUUGUUAGGUCAGAAUUUAGAAAUAAAUUUCCCCAAACUACAUUAUACUCUGUCUCUGUAGAGAAAAUACUUGCUUUGAGGACUUCAGGUAAAAAAUAAAAGAAAAUGUCUUAUGGGAUACAGCAGAUCAUGGAGAGGGGGGAAAAAAGUACAUAUUUUUAUUUUUUGGCAUAGGAGAUGCUAUUAGACAUGUAAAGGCAAAUGAAUCCCAGAGUUAGUCAACUCUUACCUGGAGAGUCUCAUCUUAGGGGAAAGUAUUCAGCAAGUCCACAGUUAACUUGUGCCUCUCACCCAGGAAGUCUCUGCUAUGCCCACGCCUAAUCUCCCUUUUCUCCUUUCCCUCUUCAGAAAGGCUCAUGGAGCUUUGAGACCCAAAGAAAGGUAAUAUAUAUGUUCAGUAAUCCCAUAGAAGAAUUAAAUUUAAUAUGUUGCCUGGAUUUGACAUUCUAGAAGUUCUCUUUCUCUCCGGGAGAUCUUGAGUGGGCUGCAUCUCCAAUUGUAGUGAGGCCCUUUUGGCCAUUUAUUGUUUUAACCUUUUUCACGGUGCUCACCUAACCAACACCUAUGUGCUCACUACAUCAAUAAAUACUUGAACAUUGCAUGCGCCAUGGUCCUCGUACCAUAUUAACUUUUGUGGUAAUAUAUCUGUUCAUCAUAUCUAUUGCCUCUAGUAGCUGUCUAUAUCCCAGAUUUUCUUCUCUGGGGGGAAAGUGGAGAAAAUAAAAAAGCUUCCAAUAAUUUCCCAAUUAUCUGCUCCCUCUGUAGUCAUUUUCUCAUAGCUUUAUCUGUAUAGUUGCAAUAUUAUACUAUAAUGUUUCUUUUUAUAGAGCUGUUUUUACCUCUCAGAUGUGAGUUCCUUAAGGAAUGUUCCUCACUAAAUGUGAUGCAUGAAUGAAUGAAUAAAUGGAAAAAUAAAAGAAAAAAAACAUUCCUAAUGACCAGAUGAACCUGUUAAAAGAAAGUAGCAUUAUUUUUAGCUUUAGGGUUUUGUUUUUCAAUAGUAAACCUAAGGUUUCAUACCAAUUCAUUAUGCUCCCUAAUUUUCAUAAAAAUGAAUAACUUAUUUAACAGACAAUCAACUAGCAAAAAAGAGGUCGUUGCCAGUUGAGGUCUCUCCUGCCUGUCUCUUCAAUCAUUUGUUAUGCUCAUUGCAUGCCUAGUGCUGGAAGUUGAACAUCAGCAUGUGCUCAUCUGGGGGUUUCUACUCCCAAUUCUCCAUCCUCCUCCAACUGUAAUACAACUUGCUAGCAAUAAGAAUGCCUUGAGUAUAUUUCCUAAAGAAAUCCUCUAUGUAUAUGUUUUUAAUAGGGUGUAUUUUAGGCAAUAAAAUAAAUAAAUAACAAAAAGUAAUCUAAUUGUUUAGCUGCCGUGCUUGAAAAUAACUAGAUAAAGCCUCUCUUGUGGAACGGAAAAAUAACAGCAGGGAUUUCCAUUACCUUGAAGUGUCUUGGUAAAUAGGGAUGCCUGCCAAAGGCUAUCUGAAGGAUGAUUGGUAGAUGGAUUGACAGAUGAGGAACGAAUAGAUGGCUUAAACAAAUAGAUAGGAGCAGUCACAUUAAGGAGGUGCAUGAGUGUAUAGAUGGAAUAAGGGUUCGAUAAAUGGGGGGCAUAAUCUGUGAAUGAAUAGGUGAGUGGUUAGCUGAUGGAGAAGUAAAUUGGUACAUUGAUGAUUGAUUGAGCUAAGUGGCCAGAUGGAGUGAAAGACCAGUAAAUGUCUGUGCCAGCAGGAGAACAGACAGAUGGGUAAACAUUUCAACGUGUAUGAGCAGAAGCAGGAGAGGGUCAGGUGUGGAUGGGAAGAGGAUGAUUAAGAGGAAUCAUAAAAUGAAGAUAGGAGAAGAAGCACUAAAGGCAUUAAGAUGGUUAAAGGGCUUGAAAAUGUAUUUGUUUGACAAGUCAUGAUUUUACAAUGAGCAUGAGGAAAUUGGAAAGGCAUCCAUCAGUACCUACCAUUUCCUUGGUAUUUUAAUUUUCAAAGAAUAUGACCUAGUUUAUCACAUUAUCUGUGCUCCAUUCCCUGUGAAGGAGACAAAGUCAGGAAAAGUCAGGGAGGAGCCCUUGUCUACCUAGAAAGCCAGGAAAAAACAAGCCUCAGGACUCUAACUCUUGGCCAGAGGUGCUAGCCAUGCUGUAAUAUCAACAGGAGAAUCUUAACCCUUUUCCUGCUAAACUCACAAGCCAUAAACAGACAUUGGUUUUAAGCAUUAUUUAAGCAAGUCUUGAGAAAUCCAGUGGUUGAUAGAGGAACCAAAAUUGCCAGAGUUGUGAACUAAAACAAGCUGUGAGGAGCAAAUUUGCAAAUAGUACAGAUAAGGAAACAAACACUAGGAAGGCCAAAUGCCAGUCAAUGUCAGGUAUGUAGUUACUGGCAGAAAUAGGAAGGGCUAGUUGAUAGAGAAGCUGAGUGUACAAGAGGGUUUAUAUCCAUCCCUUCAGAAAGUCAGAUAUGUGUGUAAUGAAGGCAGAGGAGUUAGAGUAUUAAUGAAAAAGAUGUUUUAGAGAAGGCAAUCAGAGGGAUGCAGCUUCUUUCCCAGUUCUCCUUUUCAUGCUGUUACCCAUGAGUAUACUAUUGUAAAACCAAAUAUGUAGAACAAUAAAAGUAGCAUAUAUGUCUAUGAACAAAUGGACAAUCAGAGUCACCAUAUAUUCUCAUACUCAUCCUUGUCACAGUUGAGUGGAAUCAAACAGCAGAAAUGAUUAAGGAAUAGAGUGACCAAACUGAGGAGUACCUGGCCAUUAUAUUUCUGAAACUUCUCUUCUGAUUCCAUGAAGCCUUGGUCAAUAAAUACAUAUUGUAGGCUUUGGGGCUAUAGGUAUAUCUAAUAGUAUUUGUAAAUGGCAUAGAUAUUAGAGAUACAGGUAUACUAGAGAAAGUGCUUAGACUGCCUUCCAUGCUGUAUGUGUGUGAAUGCUUGGGGUGAGAGGAGAGAGAGAGAGAGAGAGAGAGAGAGAGAGAGAGAGAGAGAGAGAGAGAGAGAACUUGCAUGCCUGAUUGUGUCUACUCCCCGAAGCCUAAAUCACAUACAUGGGGGUAACAUCGUCAGCUUCACUUUUCUCCAUUCCUGAGUGCUCAAUAAUAUAGCCUAAUAACAAGCCCCCCCAAAUUACAAAUUUCUUCGAAUUUUAUUGAUACACUGCACAAUCACAACCAUUUCGUGUGUUCAUCCUGAAUUAGAAAAGGUUACAACUACAAUGUAACAUGCACAAAAUUCAGGUAGUAUAUUCACCCUUAAUACAAUUAUUGACAGAAAUCAAGACUUCAUUGAUUUUUAAGGAAAAAAAUGGGGAAGAAAAUUAUAGAAGAAGAAAAAAAAGAACUCUAGAAAGCUGACAAAGUUAUACUCUUGUAUCAUGUGAUAAACUUUUAAAGCAUUUGAACAUAGAUUUGCUUUAAGGAUAAUCAUGAGAAUGGGCACACCCAUUGUCUGACAUAGCUAUAACGGCACUAUUGAUAAGUCAUAAUUUUUCUUUUUAAUCUAGGGGACUCUGAACUCGACAGAAACAUUUUUGUACACGCACACAUUCCGCACAAUUGCACUGUACAUGUCACAAAAGUUUUUGAAGGAUUAAAAACGCUCCCUCUAACUAACACGAGGGCAGCUAUUAUUACUUAUCAUUGCUAUUAUCGAUGUCCUUAUAGAUCUGCCAGCAGCAGAGAGUGUGGCCAAGAAAGAGUAGGAAGGUUCACAAUCUUUCUUCCUGCACUCAGUAGUGUGGAACAACUGUGUGCCUUCCAAAGGGCACAUUUGAAAGACACAAAAAAGGAAUCUCUCAAAAUGCGGGAAAUUAGGUUUGGCUGACUACUUUCAAGUUGAAGACAAUUGGGCCUAAUUGAGUCCACUCCACAUUCCUUUGGACUCCCAGAAUUCUGCACCUGAAGGCUAAAUUGCACUCGUUCAGCUCUUUUUGCCAUUUUUUAAAAAAUUGCAAAUCUUUUUUUCCCCCUUUCAUUUACUUCUCUUCUCUUAAGUAAGAAAUGAGGGAAAUGAGACUGGCAUUUUUUAUUUGUUUACUUUUAGCGAUCAUUAGGCAUUCUCAUCAUAUGGUAUAUUUUUUGAAAAUGAUGCCUUCCUAGUUACACACCUGUGAAGUUUUAUUGCAACUGCUCAAAUGUAUUUGUCUUAAAAGAAAGACACAGGGAAACUUUGGAUAAUACCACGGGGAGGCAAGUGGGUAAAAGCAUUUCUAGAUAUAGGUCUUGUGCAAAAUGAAGAUUCUCCUUAUUGGACAAAAAAAAUUUUUAAAUGCAUUUUUUCAGGAAGGAACAUUUUUUCUAUUUCUAAAGAGAUUAAACUUUUCUCUUUAAAAAAAUAAAAAUUUGUGGGUCAUUUUCUUUGGGGGAGGGGAGAAUGGAGGGUUGGUUCCAGGUACUGCAAAGCCACUGUUCCUCUGGUUAAGACAGAGUGAAAUUGGGAAGGAUUUCCUCACCCCAUAUCUCUCCUCAUCUUGAGCCAUUUCUCGCAUCCUUCUACUGAUGGGCUGAUGCCACUCAUACACCACUACAGAGAAGACAAGCUUAGUGGCAUUAAAAGCACCGACCAAAACCAGGUUAUUCAAGUCACAGCCACUCCUGAUGCAGUGACAGCAAUACACUCUCUUCAGAUCCACUGCCCACCUUGAGGUUCUCUACACUUUUCAGGAAAGAGUUCUUUUGUCAUAAGUAGAACUUGCUAAUUCUUCCAUGUUGAGUGCAAGGCAACUGGGUUGAUCAGAAACAGAUUCUUAACUUCAUCCUUGGUUAUAGAGUUUCUAGGGUUCCAGAGCACACUUUCCACCCAGGUCUUGAGAACUCACUGCCCAAUCUUGGAAAGAUACCUUCUAGUAUGAGGCACUGGUUUCAAAUGAAAGAGGCCCAGACCUCUUUUUCAUACAAAGCCUUACCUUUCCUUCUAUUUAGCUGAGCACAAUUGCAGAAGAACAAUCAUGCACAGUGCAAUCCUUGCAUAAAGCAUAUACAUGUUUCACCACCAUUCUCCUGUAUGUUUCCUCUCCCCCAGUUAAAGCACAAAUGAGAAAAACUAAAAGCACUUGCUUAGACUUGCACAUGACUAUAUCAGGCACUUGACAUUAAACUUCUGAGAAAACAAGCUUGACCAGAAUCUUAACACUAGCACUUUCAUUGGCAUUACUUUGGUGGAAGUCCAUUUCAACUGUAUCUGGGGAAAGGGGCAUGGUUUCAGAGUAACUGCAUUGCUGAAUUCCUCUCACCUACUCUCCGGAUAAGCAUUACUUCCCAGAGAAAACCUGCAAAGAACCAUAGGCUGCUCAGAGACUUGUUUGCUUUACCUCCUUUACCCCUUCUCCAUCCCCACCAUGGACACCUUGAAAAAAUAUAUAUUCAGCAGGCUUUAUCCAUCUACCCUCCAAAUGUAAAGUUGAAAGAUCACGUGCACCUGUGGAUAUGGUCUUAACUGAGCAUUUGCUGUCCAGUAUGCUUCAAACUGUUGGGGAAGACCUACUGUCAUAUAGAGCCAUCCCCACCAAAGUAACCCAAACACAGAAUCUGGGGGACAUCUGUUGUGAGGAAGAGCAAUUUUCUUUCCCAGUGCCAAUUUUCCUGGGGUCUUAUUUACUUUUUUUUUUUUUUUUAAUCCCGGAUAGAUGAGGAUUGGCUGUAGGCUGUUCCCGCUCUGAAAUGUGGCUGAAACAGGCAACUACCAGAGGUGCUUCCUGGUGUCCAGAGGAAGAGGGCAAUGUGAAGUUUCUUUGUGACUCUGAGGCCCAGCUUUGCCCUGUUCAGAAGGUUCUGGUGGUCUUCAUGGCCCAAGGAGGGUGGGCCCCUUCCUCUAGGAUGCAUCUAGGACCGAAGGAUAUGUACAGCUUGUCUGUUUCAAGACCUGUUCUUCAAAACCACCAACUCUCCACAGCCUCUACAUUUAUUUUAUUCCCAAGUAUCAAAUUGAUGGUCAGUAGACCACUCUAAUGACACAUUUAAUUCUCAUCCAACGUCUGACACCAACCCGACUCCAGGUGUUCAGUGUGGUGACAGAUAUGAAACACUGCUGUAGGACUUUUAAUUAUGACUUUAUGUCUGCUCAUGAUUGUCCCUGGAACUUGGAAUCAAUACACUGCUUUUGGCACAUCAUUUAUGUUCCCAGAAUCUGGCUCCUGGUGGCUUGCUAGGAAAUGCAGAUGUCUGUUUACAGCUGGCAAAUGUAAUAUUAAUUUCACUCGCACAAGCUCUAACUCUUAUGAAAGUGCCUAAGUUUUUGUAUGCCAAGGCAAAAAGGUUUGUAUUUUAUAUAUGCACGUGGCCACACACAUAUUUAUUAUAUAUUUUGCUGAAAGAGGUUCCCAGUUGAGUCAGGGUAGGUGUGUGAGAUAGUCAUUGUGGAUGCUUCUUUUUCACCCUCUCCAUAAGAAAGUCCCUGCAGCAGAGGUGAAGGGAAGCACAGCCUUGUGUGGUUUUCAAUGCCAUUCUCCUAGAUCACAGGAUCCUCACUUGUCCCAGGAGAUAAUGUAGAAAGAUCAGAUCAGCUCCUGUUUAUAUGCUAGGGCUGCUUUGAGCUGAAGAGCUGAGGAUAUUCAGCCCCAGAGCUGGUGGAGCAACAGCCUAUAGCAGAGGAAAUUGUGAGUCACUUCCACUUUCCCCAUUUGCAGUGUUGUGUUAAUCACGUGCUUAGAAAUUAAGUCGAUUGCUCAAGUGCCCUCCUCAGCCCAGAAGAGCUUUCUGAUACAAACAUCAGAGUUGUCAACACACCCACCAUGUAAUUGGCCUCAUUGGCUUUUUACUGGAUAGUUUUCAAACAGAUUCAACUAAAACUGGAGCAGAGAGAAGACAGUGGCUGAAGUCAUCGCACUCAGACAGGUGUGUUUGUUUUCUUCUUUGCUCUUGUUAUUAAGAGAAGCCAGCCUUGGGGUAAAUCCUAUAGAUUCCUGACAUACACACUCUUGAAAGGAGGAGAGAAGCAGGAAGGUUGGCAUGUUGGCCCUUCAAGUGAGAAAAAAAGAAAAAUACGCAGCAAUCAAGGCUUCUCCAGGGUCAGCUGACUUCCCAAGAAGGUGGUUGUGGAAACACAGUCUCUUCUGGGAAUAGUGAGUGAAUGAUCAUUAGAAUUCUACUUUGGUCCAUCCAUUAACAGCAUCUAUGUUGGGUGGAUGGGAUAUCACAUUCCAAAAAGUCCAUGACAUAUUGCUUUUCUAUGUUGAUAGCCUGUGAGAUCAUUGGCUUUCACAUAAGAAGCUGAUAGGUAAUUUUGAAGAUGCCAAUGUCUGCUGAAGGUAGAGGAGAAAUGAAUACAAUUGAAAAGACACAAUAUGAUUAGACAUUAAUGAGGUGAUGAAUUGAGCGUGAGCAGUGAGGAAAGAAAUAGAAAGAAGUGUUAGAAAAUUACAUUGAUGGAUUGACAAAUAGAAUAAAUAGGUUACUAGAGAGAAAGAUGGGUGGAUAGAUAAUUGAAUGGAGAGGAAAAUCAGACAAUUGAGUAGAUGGAUAACUGUAUGAUUACUUUGAUAGAUAGCUUGAUAAACCUAAACAAUCAGCCAUCUAUGAAUCAUUUUGUAUGAGCUGAACAGCAUUUUUUAAGGGAAAUACUAUCCUCAAAAUGUCUACCCCCUUUUUGGUCAUUUGACUUCUAAAUUUUUAGUAUGGGGUAGUGUGAAUAGCUUCAAAGGUCUAAUCCCUGUAGCUGGUGAGAAAUGCAUAUAGAGCAGAGUACCUAGAGAAGAUGCAAGAUUUUAUACAUAUAUGUAUAUAUAGAUAUGAGUAUCUUGAGAUAACUUCCCAGAGAGAAAGCAUGUGAACCCUAAUGUAUUUAGAUAAUAAUAAACAUGGAGAAAGGGAUAUGUACAAUGUAAUCAGGAAAACGGUCCAAAGCUUAAAAGACACAGAUAAUAGGACACUUGGAUACAAUUCUUGCUGUGCACUACAUUAUAAGUCAAGUUGUGUCUUCAUGGUGUUUAUCAUGAGGCACAGUUUUGCCCAAAUGGAGCUCAUGUUUUGGUAUGUGGGACAGGAGAGGUUGGUGGUGGCGAUGAUGAUGGGGAGGGAAGCAGAGGAAAGGGAAGAGCCCAGGGAGCAGGAACAGAUUCCACUUUUGGACACACCAAUGAAUGAUUAGCCUAAACAUGGUAGAACCCUGCCCUCCCCUCCCCCAACCCCACUUGUUGAAACUGG